GACCUCGGAUCAGGUAGGACUACCCGCUGAACUUAAGCAUAUCAUA
rnacentral:rRNA from 2 species